GUACUCAAGGGGUAAAGGGACGUCAUAAUGGUCAAUUAGAAGACGUGUUCAACAAAGCAACAUCAAGUUCUACAGUUUCACUAUUUGACAAAAGCCCCACUAGCUCAGUAACAGAAAAGAAAAUCCUAAACUGUUUGGUGAAACUUAUGACAAACGUGGAGGAAAUAAAAGUACAGACCCACCUAAAUACGCAGCUUCUGCAGGCCACAAUCACAAAGAUCGAUAGACUUGAAAGCCGUCCUGCUCCUGGUGCAGAGGAGCCCGACACUACACUGCAGUUAGAUGUAUGUUUUCCUCUGGGAAAACAAGAUAUACAGAAGCUGGAGGACCUCUUGCAGAGUAAAAACACGUGUAAAACUUUGGUGAGAUCAUUAUCAACUAUUGGUGGUGAAAACACGAAAAGUUCAGUAAGGAGACUACUUUCCCACAUGAUCACCACAAAACUAGCAGUAAACAUCAACUGGAUGGGAAAAGGGGGGAAAUUGCCUUCUCUUCACUGAAAUUACAGGAAAUAUUGAAAGAAACAGUGAGGAAGAAUCGCCUCUGUGUUAAUGCAACAGACGUGGAAAUUUUAAACGUGGCAAAAGACUGGUUUCGCUUUGCGUGUGAUAGAGAUGGGGAACGAAGGAGAAGGGCAGAGGAAAAGAAACUUCAAAUUCAAAUUCAAGCUGAACAGAAUGAUAGUGAGCUUGAGGAUGAGACCAAUACAUAAAUAGAUUCUUUGUAACACGCGUAUUACCGCUCUCAAUACUUACAUGUAAUAGAAUAUGAACAAUUUCCUUGUUAAUUUUGUAAUUGUAUCGGAUACCUUCUUUUUCAUUUGUGUAACUGAAUUUUUUAACUCUUUUAAAGUAAUACACUAAACAUUAAUAAAAUAUUAGGCAAAUGAAGAUCCCUUUCAAUUUGAAUAGUUAUUAACUUUGUUGUUGCA